UACGUAGGGUGCGAGCGUUAAUCGGAAUUACUGGGCGUAAAGCGUGCGCAGGCGGUCUGUUAAGACCGAUGUGAAAUCCCCGGGCUUAACCUGGGAACUGCAUUGGUGACUGGCAGGCUUUGAGUGUGGCAGAGGGAGGUAGAAUUCCACGUGUAGCAGUGAAAUGCGUAGAGAUGUGGAGGAAUGCCGAUGGGCGAAGGCAGCCUCCUGGGCCAACACUGACGCUCAUGCACGAAAGCGUGGGGAGCAAACAGG
rnacentral:rRNA from 1 species